GACGAACGCUGGCGGCGUGCUUAACACAUGCAAGUCGAACGGUGAAGCGGGUGCUUGCACUCGUGGAUCAGUGGCGAACGGGUGAGUAACACGUGAGUAACCUGCCCUCCACUCUGGAUAAGCGCUGGAAAACGGCGUCUAAUACUGGAUACGACCGACCCUCGCAUGGGGUGUUGGUGGAAAGAUUUAUCGGUGGUGGAUGGACUCGCGGCCUAUCAGCUUGUUGGUGGGGUAAUGGCCUACCAAGGCGACGACGGGUAGCCGGCCUGAGAGGGCGACCGGCCACACUGGGACUGAGACACGGCCCAGACUCCUACGGGAGGCAGCAGUGGGGAAUAUUGCACAAUGGGCGACAGCCUGAUGCAGCGACGCCGCGUGAGGGAUGACGGCCUUCGGGUUGUAAACCUCUUUCAGCAGGGAAGAAGCUUUUGUGACGGUACCUGCAGAAGAAGCACCGGCUAACUACGUG
rnacentral:rRNA from 1 species